AUUGUCCGCGAUCACAGAGACGUAGUCCACGAUCACAGAGAGUACAAUGAAGAAGUUCUUUGAGACCAGAACAGAAGUCUCCAGGUGUCACCACUUCGUCCACGACAUGGUCCAUGAUCACAGAGACAUGGUCCACGAUCACAGAGACAUGGUCCAUGAUCGGAGAGACAUUGUUGAGGAUGAGGGAGACAUCGUCCACGAUCAGAGACAUUGUCCGUGAUCGCAGAGACCUUGUCAAAGACGAGAGAGACGUUGUCCUUGAUCAGAGACAUUGUCCCAUGCUUCGUAGAGACCUUGCGAUAGAAUCGGCGGAGACGGGGGUCACCGAUUUGACGGCACUGCCCGCGAUCAUGGAGACAUUGUUAAUGGUCACAGAGACAGCGUCUAUGAUCUCAGAGACAUCGUCCACGAUCACAAAGACACUGUCCAUGAUCACAGAGACUUUGUCCAUAAUCUCAGAGACAUUGUCCGCGAUCACAGAGACGUAGUCCACGAUCACAGAGAGUACAAUGAAGAAGUUCUUUGAGACCAGAACAGAAGUCUCCAGGUGUCACCACUUCGUCCACGACAUGGUCCACGAUCACAGAGACAUGGUCCACGAUCACAGAGACAUGGUCCAUGAUCGGAGAGACAUUGUUGAGGAUGAGGGAGACAUCGUCCACGAUCAGAGACAUUGUCCGUGAUCGCAGAGACCUUGUCAAAGACGAGAGAGACGUUGUCCUUGAUCAGAGACAUUGUCCCAUGCUUCGUAGAGACCUUGCGAUAGAAUCGGCGGAGACGGGGGUCACCGAUUUGACGGCACUGCCCGCGAUCAUGGAGACAUUGUUAAUGGUCACAGAGACAGCGUCUAUGAUCUCAGAGACAUCGUCCACGAUCACAAAGACACUGUCCAUGAUCACAGAGACUUUGUCCAUAAUCUCAGAGACAUUGUCCGCGAUCACAGAGACGUAGUCCACGAUCACAGAGUCUUUGAACAAUGAAGAAGUUCUUUGAGACCAGGACAAAGGCUUCCAGGUGUCACCACUUCAUCCACGACAUCGUCCACGAUCACAGAGACAUGGUCCAUGAUCGGAGAGACAUUGUUGAGGAUGAGGGAGACAUCGUCCACGAUCAGAGACAUUGUCCGUGAUCGCAGAGACCUUGUCAAAGACGAGAGAGACGUUGUCCUUGAUCAGAGACAUUGUCCCAUGCUUCGUAGAGACCUUG